rnacentral:snRNA from 1 species
UGGUGCAGUGGCAGACAUAUUACGCACAAAUAUUUUGUCUUUUACUAAAAAAUGCUGUGUGUCUGCGGCAUUACAAUGCGUCUCGACAAAAUUUUUGAGGCGCUUCGGCGC